rnacentral:rRNA from 1 species
UACGAAGGGUGCAAACGUUGCUCGGAAUCAUUGGGCGUAAAGCGCACGUAGGCGGCCUUUCAAGUCGGAUGUGAAAUCCCUGCUCAACCAAGGAAGUGCAUCCGAAACUGGAAGGCUUGAGUACCAAAGAGGAUCGCGGAAUUCCCGGUGUAGAGGUGAAAUUCGUAGAUAUCGGGAGGAACACCAGUGGCGAAGGCGGCGAUCUGGGUGGAUACUGACGCUGAGGUGCGAAAGCGUGGGGAGCAAACAGG